CGGGACGUGGCGCAGUCCGGUAGCGCACCUGCAUGGGGGGCAGGGGGUCGAAGGUUCAAAUCCUUUCGUCCCGACCA
rnacentral:tRNA from 1 species